rnacentral:SRP_RNA from 2 species
GCCAGGAGUGGUGGCACACACCUGUAUUCCCAGCUACUCUGGAGGCUGAGGUGGGAGGAUCACGUGAGCCCAGGAGGCUGAGGCUGCAGUGAGUCAUGAUUGGACCACUGCACUCCAGCCUGAGCAACAGAGUGAGACCCCGUCUCAA